GACGAACGCUGGCGGCGUGCCUAACACAUGCAAGUCGAGCGAAGUUAUUCCUUCGGGAAUAACUUAGCGGCGGACGGGUGAGUAACACGUGGGUAACCUGCCUUAUAGAGGGGGAUAGCCUUCCGAAAGGAAGAUUAAUACCGCAUAACAUUGAGCUUUCGCAUGGAAGCUUAAUCAAAGGAGUAAUCCGCUAUAAGAUGGACCCGCGGCGCAUUAGCUAGUUGGUGAGGUAACGGCUCACCAAGGCGACGAUGCGUAGCCGACCUGAGAGGGUGAUCGGCCACAUUGGGACUGAGACACGGCCCAGACUCCUACGGGAGGCAGCAGUGGGGAAUAUUGCACAAUGGGGGAAACCCUGAUGCAGCAACGCCGCGUGAGUGAUGAAGGCCUUCGGGUUGUAAAGCUCUGUCUUUGGGGACGAUAAUGACGGUACCCAAGGAGGAAGCCACGGCUAACUACGUGCCAGCAGCCGCCGUAAGAC
rnacentral:rRNA from 1 species